rnacentral:rRNA from 1 species
GAUGAACGCUAGCUACAGGCUUAACACAUGCAAGUCGAGGGGAAACGAUAUUGGAAGCUUGCUUCCGAUAGGCUUCGACCGGCGCACGGGUGAGUAACGCGGAUCCAACCUGCCCACCACUUGGGGAUAACCUUGCGAAAGUAAGACUAAUACCCAAUAAUAUCUCAAGAAGACAUCUGAAAGGGAUUAAAGAUUUAUCGGUGAUGGAUGGGGAUGCGUCUGAUUAGCUUGUUGGCGGGGUAACGGCCCACCAAGGCGACGAUCAGUAGGGGUUCUGAGAGGAAGGUCCCCCACAUUGGAACUGAGACACGGUCCAAACUCCUACGGGAGGCAGCAGUGAGGAAUAUUGGUCAAUGGGCGAGAGCCUGAACCAGCCAAGUAGCGUGCAGGAUGACGGCCCUAUGGGUUGUAAACUGCUUUUAUAAGGGAAUAAAGUGAGCCUCGUGAAGCUUUUUGCAUGUACCUUAUGAAUAAGGACCGGCUAAUUCCGUGCCAGCAGCCGCCGUAA